rnacentral:rRNA from 1 species
AUCCUUAAGGAAACUAUUUAAGGUGCUCCCUGCCCGGUGGAAGGUUUUUAACGGCCGCAGUAAUUACUGUGCUAAGGUAGCGUAAUCAUUUGGCUUAUAAUUGAAGUCUUGUAUGAAUGGGGGAACGUGGAGAAGCUUUCUUUAUCAUAUUUUGCUGAACUYGCCAUUUUGGUGAAAAAGCCAAAUUAUAAGAAAAAAGACGAUAAGACCCUAAGAGUUAUUCCUUUUCUUUUAACUUUGGAAUUAAAGGGUUUGUUGGGGCGACACUUAGGCAGGAAGUAACAACCCUAAGAAUUUAGCUUUAUUCAGCCGGAGCUUUCAAGAGUUAUUAACUACCUUAGGGAUAACAGCAUAAUUUUUUAUUAGCUUAUGACCUCGAUGUUGGACUAGAAUUUAAGGCGAUCAGCAAUUGCCUAUUAUAGCUCUGUUCGAGCUGAGUGUGUUCU